CAUAAAUGACUGGCAGAAGACGACCAAGAGGAAGUCCACCGCAUACAGCCACGAGUACUUGACCUGGUUGUGUGGAGCUCAGACAAAAUGUUUCUAUACUUUCUCCCAUGUCGCUUUAAAGUCUGGAUCCAAAUGGAGAUCACCACCCUGGAAAAGGUGUCAUGACUCCAACCUCCAUCUUUACAUAAUCAGACCACGUGUCAGAGCAGCAGGAAGUCACUGUCCUACAGGAGGACCUCAGAAAAGUGAACAACAUGCUGGUGCUUGUGAGGAUGAGCCUUGUCGAGCCGUGAGGAGAAACAUUCAGAUGUUAGUAAAUGGUUGUUGAUAUCCUGUAAUUGACAGCAUGGAAGAAUUCUGUUUUACUCUUGAAAUAGUAAAUGCAGUCAGACACUAUGCAAAAUUAUUGUUUUCACACACUGACUCAAUAACAGAAGAGUGCUUGUUCUGUGCCUCUUUUUUUUAUCUCAGAGUGAAUACAGCAACGUAUUAAUAGUUUGGAUUAUAUGAUUUUUAUAUGCAACUGAAUAUUCUUUCAUUGAC